UGGAGAACUUCUAAGGUGACCCACUGA
rnacentral:piRNA from 1 species